UUAUAAGUUAACGCGGAAAUAUCUUGCCUGGGGAGUAAGCUUGCAAAAGUAAAACUUAAAAAGAUUGGCGGGAAUUUGUUUAAACGGUGGAGCGUGUGGUUUAAUUCGAUAAUCCACGAUAAACCUUACCAAUGAAGUGAGUUUUUUUUUUUAAACAUAUUUCAGUUAUUUUAAAAAAAAAACUAAAUGGUACUGCAUGGCUGUC
rnacentral:rRNA from 1 species